UAAAGGAAGGAAAUAGGAACCUUUCGCUAUAAAAAUCUGAAAGUCUGAGUUCUUUAGCAGCAGAACUGACACAGAAGAGAGGCAGAGAGAAAGUUACUGUAAGACAUCACGGCUUGUCUCCUACGCUUGCAGAUCAAAGUCUCCACAGAAUUCACUCUUGCUCUCCGACUCAUCUCUAGGCAUCUGUAAAGGAAAAGAGAAUGAGUGCAGCACGCUCUCAGAAAAAAGAUUACCAUCAAAACAUCCAUCUUCAAGCAAAAAUUUGAAAAAAAAAAAAUCAGUGUUUUGAGUUGGGCAUUUUAUCUUCUUAACCAACGAGCAUUGAUCAUCAUAUACAAAUGAAGACAUUUGUAAGAAGAAAAAGGAUCAAGCAAAGGAACAAGACUACAUACCUCCUAACUAGAGAAUUUGCAGAAUAGCUGAAGACUCAUUCUUCCCUGAUAACAAUCAGAACUUCAGUUACUAGUGUUACCGGCCUGCCAGAUUUUCUAAAACCAGGAUAGGCUCAUGCUCAGCUGAACAGAACAGGCUCAGUCCACUGAAGUGAUUCAAGCUGGGCAGCUUCACUUUCUCAGGUGACGUUUGGCAGUUCCUGAGAGAAGGAUGACGUGAAAUAUCACUGUCAACUCUGAUCGGAUGAAGCAGUUCCUGUACCUUGUCCGUGGGUGCGUCGAAGGGAGCCCUCGAGUUCCUGGAGCUGGCAUGUGGCAGCCUCAUCUCGACUCCCAGAGCCUCAGGACCUUUUAUAGUCAUGCGGUCGCAGCACAUCCCUCUACCCUGCAUCUGCAUUUCGCCGGUCAGGAAGCCAGGCUGAGCUCAGAGGAGCCUGGCUGGGAGAUACGCAGUCCGGGCAAUCAGGGGAGUAGAUCGCUGGCACAAAAUGGCAGUCCAGCCCCACGCGUAACUCCUGCAUGGCUAGGAAGGAGGUAGACAAAUUAAAUUAGCUGGCACCUUUCUAAAUUUCCCUCAGAACUUAAUUGAACAGAUGAGUAAAACCAAACCAAGCUCAAAUUGUUGGUUAAACUUCCUGAUAUUGUUUUUGACUGAUUAUUUGGACCAGCCCUCCAAGGCCCACCCACUAAAGGACCUCUGCCAUUUGAAAAAUCUGUCGUCAGAGAGGAAACAAUCUUCAGCAAGUAAAUGCCACAGUUUCCUUUCUUCCGUUAUCAUGAUCUCGUGCUGCUUAUUUGCUUUUCUGAUGCCAUUUUGUGCCUCCAGGCUAAAUUCUGCCUUUCACUUAUGUAAAUACACAGGAGGAUAAGGAUUCCUCACUCACCCUUGGGCAUAUUACUUUAAAUUCUGGCCAAACUGCAUGUCCUGUGCUCUGUGUCUGCCUGAUCAGGAUGCAUAAACAGAGGGAAAGGGAUGGCCGCAGAAGGAGGCUCUCCCGGUUUUGUCCUAGGAAAUGCCUCCCCCUGCAUUGUGCCGUAGGAGGCAUGAGCCAUGCAUUUCUUUGUAAUCUCCCUAAUACUUUAGAAGUUGGCCUCAAUUCUCCAAUAUGAUUUGAGCUAAUGCCCAAACUCUAUUAAGCAACCCUGUGACAGAGACUGGAGGGAAAAGGAUUGUGCCAUUUCUCAUCAAGUAUUAAAAAAUCGGCACGGAAAUUCCUGAUGCAUUGCAGUUGCUGCAGCCCACGGUGGCGGGGAGAGCCAGUGACCGCAUGGUCCGUCUGCGACACCGCCGGCCCAGGGACUUCUGCGGGGUUCACACGGCCGUGAAUGGGUGCUGCGAAGAGCAGGGUCUCUGCGAGGGGACAGGGCUCACUCCCAGUCCUUCCUCUGCCUGCAGACUGUGUUGGCACUUAAAUACGUUUCCCUUUACCGUUCGCACUUUGUUUAACUCUGGAGCCCAGUGCUUGUGUAAGGACACUCGGUGAUGGGCUUGGGCAGAAGGAGCGUUCAGCACUCAAAUUCUGACUAUCUUGAUUUGACAAAGGCCAGAGAUCACCUGUAGAGACAAUCAGUGGCAAAGAGUAAAGAGAAAGCGAGAGAGAAAGCGAUAAAGAGAAUGGACAGAGGCUGGUCCUGUCACUGGUUGCAGUGCUAAAGGUGCUUGUGCCCUCUGACAGCAAAGGUGACAUAAAAAACCUCUGCAGCACAGAGCAGAACAGAGCACGAUGGGCCAGUUUUGUUCCUCUUUCCUAGCUGGGUGACUCCAAUGCCGAGGGUCAAGUGCCAGCAAUGCCAAUCAUUUUGGGGUGUUUAGUUUAAAAAGAGUUCUUCCAAUUUAUGUAAGUUAGAAAUCACCAACCAGCUCAUCUUUCCUUCAGCCCUUUCCAGUAGCUAGUUGGAAUCACCCCAGUGAUUCUGGUCACCACAACCACCAGGCAAAUCCAGGGUGAGUGCACAAUCUAGAUGAGCAGAUUUGAAAGCAUAAGUGAAUGUUGCAGAGAGCUGUUUGUUUUGCAUUAUUCACACUGUUCGAGCUUUGGCAGUUUGCUUCUGUGACCAUACUUUGAUGUAAUUUUUUCAAGCUGAACUGGUUUGGAUAGAAUAAAUAUCUGUUCUGAAUCUUUGUUAGAAAUUUCAAUUGAAUUUGAAUCUUUUGGGAAGGUCCAGAGAGAAACAGAAGACUUCCAGGCAUCUCUGUGCUUUUGGUGUCUGGAAAUGUCUUUCUUUCAGAGGAGAGAAGAGAAAACAAGCAGGCCUAUUUGAGUAAUUUAAUCUGUUUAAGGUAAUUUACUACAAGGCAUCACUUUAAUAUUCAGUGCCUAUUAUUUUACAGCACACAAGUAUCCUUGACCUUGCUCUUUUCUAACCUCAGUCGUGUUUCAAAUAACUCUUGUAAGAAGAAGCCUCCCUAAGGAGCAGCUCUGCAAGUCAAAGUCAUGACUUCCUUUGCUCAAAAAAGGAUCCAGAACCAUGCAUCAGCUGUAUGUGUCUCCUCCCUUUAUACGGUUAGGCUGUUCCAGCGCUUUCAUCAUCUCUGGUAAAAUUAGCACUACAGUAAUUACACUGGGCCAAAUAUACAGCUGGUGAAAGUGCACAUAUUUCAGAGGGAGGAGACUUGAAAUGAAAUUGGCAGGCGCUGUCCUGUUUCAUUAAAGCUAACUCAAGGAAAACGAUGGGAACAAUUUCUGUCACACAUCGCAGGCAUUGGCACAUGCAGACAUGUACCCUCGCAUGCAAUGCUUCCGCUCUGCUGCGAUUUUCCCUGCUUGAGCUUUGCACCCAGUUUCCUGAGGACCGCUAAUGCCAACGCAGCGCUUUCGAAAUCGUCCCUCUGCAUCUUUGGUGCAGACCGUAUCAAGGGAAGUCUGUGGCUUUCCGUCUUGUAUCAGCCAUCGGUUUGUUAGAGGGUGUUGGGAAAUGGCUUGUGGCCUGCGGCGUGUAAAGGUGUGUCGGGUUGCUGUUUUGUGGGAUUUCUGGCCAGCUAAACUGUGAUCGUGAAGGCCUGGAUUUGACAGCCCUGUUGGUUCUUUUUUUGCUGUUUUACCUAGUACCUCUCCCAAAAGCAGGAUAACAUUGGAGGAAGGAGAAAUAGGACCCAGUGAGGCGAAGCGUUAUGAGCCCUCUAACAACAGUGGCUGCCAAUCCAGGAGUGACACUCCGCUAUACUCUCUCAAACGAAACAAAUGGCAAAGGAUAGUGGGAUGUUUGCCUAUGGAAAAAGCGAUCACCGAAGAGAAGACAUUUAAUCAGUAUAUACAGAACGGCCGCAGAAUGCAUUAGGCGGGACCAAACUGGACAGCGCGCCAUAUCUCCUGAAUUAUUACGACCCUCCGAUGCUGUGCAGUGUUGUAAAGCUGACGCCUGAAGAA